AUGGGUAGCCUGAUGCACUUCAGCUCUGAACUGUGCCCCUCCUUUAAGGCAUUCAGGAUCAGAACCCUUGGGUUGGGUCAAAGAACAAUUCAGGAACAGGGUUUGGUACUGCACAGACUUCAGCAUGUAAAAAGUGCUAACAAUUCAGCAGUGCCCUCAAACCAAAACACUUCCAGCUCUGCCCCACUGCCUGAAGAGUCAAGUCUUCAGAGCCUGGUGUACAUUCUUUUAACUAUUACUUUUGGUGGCAAAUCUUCAACUCUGAAGUCUUUCUGAGCAGAACGUGAAGAAUAAGGCAGAGUUCCAUCUUAACAAAUACUCAGGCUUUGGACAAGCUGCAAACACAGGAAAAGAUAAGACAGAGGUGGGGUCUACAGGAAGCAGGAGCCAACGUGACAACAAUCUGACUCUGACAAGAAGGAAAGCAAAGAAAUAUUUUUAGGGAAACACUUUUUUUUUUAAAUUUCUUUUAAGGGCCACACUUGUGGCAUACGAAAGCUCCCAGGCUAGGGGUAGAAUCAGAGUUGCAGCUGCUGGGCUAUGCCACACAGCAACAUGCAACCUACGCUGCAACACCAGGUCCUUAACCCACUGAGCAAGGCCAGAAUUGAACUGUCAUUCUCAUGGAUACGAAUCGCAUGCUGAGCCACAACAGGAACUCCCACACCAAGAACUUUUAUGAGCUCAUUUGGGCAAAUCACGGCAUUUAAUCCUCCUAACAAAC
rnacentral:lncRNA from 1 species